AGCGAACGCUGGCGGCAGGCCUAACACAUGCAAGUCGAGCGCCGUAGCAAUACGGAGCGGCAGACGGGAGAGUAACACGUGGGAACGUGCCCUUCAGUUCGGAACAACCCAGGGAAACUUGGGCUAAUACCGGAUACGUCCGUAAGGAGAAAGAUUUAUCGCUGAAGGAUCGGCCCGCGUCUGAUUAGUUAGUUGGUGGGGUAACAGCCCACCAAGGCGAUGAUCAGUAGCUGGUCUGAGAGGACGAUCAGCCUCACUGGGACGGAGACACGGCCCAGACUCCUACGGGGGGCAGCAGUGGGGAAUAUUGGACAAUGGGCGCAAGCCUGAUCCAGCCAUGCCGCGUGGGUGAUGAAGGCCCUAGGGUUGUAAAGCCCUUUCGGCGGGGAAGAUAAUGAUGGUACCCGCAGAAGAAGCCCCGGCUAACUUCGUGCCAGCCGCCGCCGUAA
rnacentral:rRNA from 1 species